ACAAAUCAGCGUGGCCCUUGAAUGGAGAAGUUGAGUUCAAAGGACAGUGAGCUGACACAGACUGAUGCGUCUGUGGUAGGAAUGCUGCGGGUGAGAGCUGGACUGAAAGAUGUAACAGUGUUGUUGCUCCUAUUCAUGAUGGGGAACAGUGUCCAGCCAGAAGGAUGUAGAAGACCUGCAUUGCUGGUGGCCUGUGUGGUCUGAGGAACAAACAUGGUGUGGGUGACACAAAGACGUAAGAAACAGUCCUACAGCAUGGCUCCAGUUCCUAGGUCUGGAGACGUAAGUCACAUUCAUCCAUCUGCUGUUUGUUCUCCCUGCUAAAAAUUCUUUCUUCUAAUUAACCCAACUAGAAAUUGUCUCCAUCUCCCGCAGUACCCAAGGAAGUCACAGGAGUCAAUAGAGGCAGCUGUGCAGUGCACAAAGAGCAGCACCACAGAGGAAGGACGGACUCAGUCCAGGCAAGGAAGAGGUUUCAAAGCAAAGAGAUUCUCCAGAUGGUUGUGCUUGCUUGCCUGACACAUGGGGCUGAACAAAGCUUAAUAGCUACCAACACCAAGGAGGAAUUUUGUUUCCCAAAAUGCCAAUCCCAAGGAAAGGGAAAAAUAAAUAACACUGACUUGCUGGCGGAGAUAUUGGGGCUGGGCAGUGCCAGAAGGCUCCUACAUGUGUUGGCCCUUGGAGUCCUGGAUGUGCAGGUAAGUAAGAUCUGUGCUUCUCAGAGUUUGCAGAGGGGACUUCAUCUGGGGACUGUUUUAAAGGAGCAAAGUCUUGUUGAUUUUUUCUAAAUCAGUUGGAAACAGAAGUGCUGAGGUACUAACAGGACAACUCCUGUUCUAACCCAGCUGUCAGAGUAUAUCCAAAGAGUGUU
rnacentral:lncRNA from 1 species